UACGUAGGGGGCUAGCGUUGUCCGGAAUCAUUGGGCGUAAAGAGCGUGUAGGCGGUCCGGUAAGUCCGCUGUGAAAGUCGGGGGCUCAACCCUCGAAUGCCGGUGGAUACUGUCGGGCUAGAGUGCGGAAGAGGCGAGUGGAAUCCUGGUGUAGCGGUGAAAUGCGCAGAUAUCGAGGAGGAACACCUAUUGCGAAGGCAGCUCGCUGGGACGUAACUGACGCUGAGACGCGAAAGCGUGGGGAGCAAACAGG
rnacentral:rRNA from 1 species